rnacentral:rRNA from 1 species
UUUCGCCUACGGGGGGCAGCAGUGGGGAAUAUUGCACAAUGGGCGAAAGCCUGAUGCAGCAACGCCGCGUGAACGAAGAAGGCUCUUGGGUCGUAAAGUUCUGUUCUGAGGGAAGAAGAAAGUGACGGUACCUCAGGAGAAAGCCCCGGCUAACUACGUGCCAGCAGCCGCGGUAAUACGUAGGGGGCAAGCGUUAUCCGGAUUUACUGGGUGUAAAGGGAGCGUAGACGGUGCGCCAAGUCUGGAGUGAAAUGCCGCAGCUUAACUGCGGAACUGCUUUGGAAACUGGCGAACUAGAGUGCGGG